GGUACCUGGGUGCAAGCAGGUGGGGUGAUGCUAGAGGUGGAAGCGUUGCUCGGACUUACUGGUGGUAAAGCGGGCGUGGGUGGGUUGUUAAGUCGGAUUGGAAAGCCCUGGGCUCAACCUGGGAAUGGCAUUGGAAACUGGCAGGCUAGAGUGCGGUAGAGGGUAGUGGAAUUCCCGGUGUAGCAGUGAAAUGCGUAGAGAUCGGGAGGAACAUCUGUGGCGAAGGCGACUACCUGGACCAGCACUGACACUGAGGCACGAAAGCGUGGGGAGCAAACAGGAUUAGAUACCUGUGUAUUC
rnacentral:rRNA from 1 species